UGUACUCUGUCAUGAAGUUCAGCCAC
rnacentral:misc_RNA from 1 species